UACGGAGGGUGCAAGCGUUAUCCGGAUUUACUGGGUUUAAAGGGUGCGUAGGUGGAUUGGUAAGUCAGUGGUGAAAUACUUUCGCUUAACGAAGGAACUGCCAUCGAUACUACCAGUCUUGAAUACAGUGGAGGUAGGCGGAAUGCGUCAUGUAGCGGUGAAAUGCUUAGAUAUGACGCAGAACACCAAUUGCGAAGGCAGCUUGCUACACUGUUAUUGACACUGAGGCACGAAAGCGUGGGGAUCAAACAGG
rnacentral:rRNA from 1 species